rnacentral:rRNA from 1 species
CGGUGGAGCAUGUGUUAAUUCGAAGCAACGCGAAGAACCUUACCAGGUCUUGACAUCCCGAUGCUAUUUCUAGAGAUAGAAAGUUACUUCGGUACAUCGGUGACAGGUGGUGCAUGGUUGUCGUCAGCUCGUGUCGUGAGAUGUUGGGUUAAGUCCCGCAACGAGCGCAACCCCUAUUGUUAGUUGCCAUCAUUCAGUUGGGCACUCUAGCGAGACUGCCGGUAAUAACCGGAGAAGUGGGGAUGACGUCAAAUCAUCAUGCCCCUUAUGACCUGGGCUACACACGUGCUACAAUGGUUGGUACAACGAGUUGCGAGUCGGUGACGGCGAGCUAAUCUCUUAAAGCCAAUCUCAGUUCGGAUUGUAGGCUGCAACUCGCCUACAUGAAGUCGGAAUCGCUAGUAAUCGCGGAUCAGCACGCCGCGGUGAAUACGUUCCCGGGCCUU